rnacentral:rRNA from 1 species
UGGUGAUGAGAGCAAAGAGGCUACACCCGUUCCCAUACCGAACACGGAAGUUAAGUUCUUUAGCGCCUGAAGUAGUAAGAUUCGAUCUUGCGAGAUAUGGACGUUGCC